rnacentral:rRNA from 1 species
AUUGAACGCUGGCGGCAUGCUUUACACAUGCAAGUCGAACGGUAACAGGCCGCAUGUUUCUGCCGUGUGUCUAACGGUUGAGUAAUUCAUCGUAACGUUCCCAUUCGUUUGUUAUAUCUACUCUUAAGAGUAUCUAAUACCUCAUACGAUCUAUUGUUUAAAGCUGUGUACCUUAAGUCCUCGCGCGAUUUGUUCUUCCUAUGUCAGAUUAGUUAGUUGGUGGGGUAAAGGCUCACCAAGCCAACGAUCUGUAGCUGGUCUGAGAGGACGACCAGCCACACUGGGAGUGAGACACGGCCCAGACAACUACGGGAGGCAGAAGUGGGGAAUGUUGGAAAAUGGGCGAAAGCAUGAUACAGCAAGGCCGAGUGAAGGAAGAAGGACUUAGGGUGGUAAACUGAUUUUGUAAGGAAAGAAAAGGAUCUGGUUAAAAAACGGGGAUAAUGACGGUAACGUAAGAAUAAGCACCGGCUAACUACGUG